rnacentral:lncRNA from 1 species
CUGUCCUUCAAGGACCCUAUCAAGCAUUGCUUCAAUUUUUCUCUCCUGAGUCUGUGGUGGUGGUUUCUGGUAAGAUGAGUUUCCAUAACUCCUGUUAUUGUUGCUGUUGUAGUUUUGGCUAUACAGUUUCAAAUACUGCGAACUCUGGUUGAAGUUACUCCUCUGUCCAUUGCCAUAGAAGUUCUCGUUUCCACUAUGGUUUCCAGACCUCUGGAAUCCAGCUCCACUGAU